rnacentral:lncRNA from 1 species
AAUAAAAUUUAAAAUAGGAGAUUAUUAGCUUAAAUGGAUUAUUCAAGCUUUGAAGGUAUUAUCCUUUAGGAUAGAUAUUUAAUUCUAUAGUAGUUCAAGGCAAAUAUUGUGAGAAGUUUAGAAUAAUGGUUUUGGCAUCAAGUGGGAUUUUUUUUCUUUUGGCUUAGGUAGGAGUGUAUGGGAGGGCAUUGCUAGAAAUUUGAAGUGAUAAGUUUCAAGACUAGUUUGGGAUUUUUUUAUACUAUUUAUUGGAUUUUUAUUAUUUUAGAUUAAGAUUGAGAAGAAUACUAGAUCUUGUUGUUAACUUUCUAACAAGCCUUAGUAUGUAAGAAAUAGAGUUGUGAUAAGAUAAAUUUAAGCAAAUUUGUGAGAAAGAGUUGUUAGAUUUUUUGAGCAACAAUAUUCAAGAAUGGUUCACGAUUUUCUAUGCCAUUUAUUAAAUUUUAGUUCAAUAAACUAAACUUUACUUAGAUUAGAUUAGUUAUAAGUAAUUUAUAGAUAUUUUAAUAAAAUGAGGUUUAGAUUUGAGAUUAGAAUUAGGGAUUGGAUGUAUCUUAGCAUAAGAAAUUAAUCUAAAAAUUUUACUUGGACUUUGAGCUAUCUUUUUUUAUUUUAUUUUAUUUGGGCAACAUUGUACUUUUUACAACCUACUUGUAAUUAAGGACCCCAUGUUCUCCUAAAGAAGUUCGUCCUCUUGAUAAUGAAUUGUGAAAACAAAAAUAAAAAACUCUUUUGCAACAAUCAUGGCAAUAGCAUCUUAUAAGAUGAUUUUGAGAUGAAUAAGAAGAUUUUAGAUUAGAAAGAAAUCACUUAAUAAUUUAGGAUUUAAUAAAUUAAGAUUUUGGAUAAAAAAUUGAUAAUUGGAUAAUAAAUUUAAUCAAGGAUAAAUUUUGAAACAUGGAUGAAGUAUGAAAAUAGAUUAUCAUUCAAUAAUAAA